UACGUAGGGUGCAAGCGUUGUCCGGAAUUAUUGGGCGUAAAGGGCUCGUAGGCGGUCCAUCGCGUCGGGAGUGAAAAGCUGGGGCUUAACCCCAGUCCUGCUUCCGAUACGGGUGGACUAGAGGUAGGUAGGGGAGAUCGGAAUUCCUGGUGUAGCGGUGAAAUGCGUAGAGCUCGGGAAGAACAUCGGUGGCGAAAGCGCUCUACUGGACUGCAACUGACACUCAGGGACGAAAGCUAGGGGAGCGAAUGGG
rnacentral:rRNA from 1 species